rnacentral:rRNA from 1 species
CUUACGGGAGGCAGCAGUGGGGAAUUUUGGACAAUGGGCGCAAGCCUGAUCCAGCAAUGCCGCGUGCAGGAUGAAGGCCUUCGGGUUGUAAACUGCUUUUGUACGGAACGAAACGGUGAGCUCUAAUACAGUUUGCUAAUGACGGUACCGUAAGAAUAAGCACCGGCUAACUACGUGCCAGCAGCCGCGGUAAUACGUAGGGUGCGAGCGUUAAUCGGAAUUACUGGGCGUAAAGCGUGCGCAGGCGGUGAUGUAAGACAGAUGUGAAAUGCCCGGGCUCAACCUGGGACCUGCAUUUGUGACUGCAUCGCUAGAGUACGGUAGAGGGGGAUGGAAUUCCGCGUGUAGCAGUGAAAUGCGUAGAUAUGCGGAGGAACACCGAUGGCGAAGGCAAUCCCCUGGACCUGUACUGACGCUCAUGCACGAAAGCGUGGGGAGCAAACAGGAUUAGAUACCCUGGUAGUCCACGCCCUAAACGAUGUCAACUGGUUGUUGGGUCUUCACUGACUCAGUAACGAAGCUAACGCGUGAAGUUGACCGCCUGGGGAGUCGGCCGCAAGGUUGAAACUCAAAGGAAUUGAGGCGNGAGAGNGCGAGGCGACACGAGGGGAGAGG